UUACACACCGCCCGUCACACCAUGGGAGUUGGCUUUACCUGAAGCCGGUGCGCUAACCGCAAGGAGGCAGCCGACCACGGUAGGGUCAGCCGACUCGGGGUG
rnacentral:rRNA from 1 species